AUCAAUGAACAGGUGGCAAAAGGAAGGAGUUGGCCACCUGCAAUAGUGCUAAAGACAUCGUUGCCUCAUUACACAGCUGAAAAAACCACCGUGAAACAGAGAUCUGAGCAGGUGGAACCCCUGUUGAGUUCAGUCGGACUUGCUUCUGAAGAAACAUAGCUGAAAUUGUGCUGCAUGAAGAACAGCAUGGAGCAAAACAGAGAAGCAAGGUCCAGUCUCUGACCCCUGGGCUCCCCAGACAUCACCAGACACUGCCUACAUGUUUCCAAGCAUCUCUACAACCACAAAGGUGAGAAAAAGAA